ACGAACGCUGGCGGCACGCUUAACACAUGCAAGUCGAACGAGAGAAGAGAAGCUUGCUUUUCUGAUCUAGUGGCGGACGGGUGAGUAACACGUGAGCAAUCUGCCUUUCAGAGGGGGAUACCGAUUGGAAACGAUCGUUAAUACCGCAUAAUAUAAUUGAACCGCAUGAUUUGAUUAUCAAAGAUUUAUCGCUGAAAGAUGAGCUCGCGUCUGAUUAGCUAGUUGGUAAGGUAACGGCUUACCAAGGCGACGAUCAGUAGCCGGACUGAGAGGUUGAUCGGCCACAUUGGGACUGAGACACGGCCCAGACUCCUACGGGAGGCAGCAGUGGGGAAUAUUGCACAAUGGAGGAAACUCUGAUGCAGCGAUGCCGCGUGAGGGAAGAAGGUUUUAGGAUUGUAAACCUCUGUCUUCAGGGACGAAAAAUGACGGUACCUGAGGAGGAAGCUCCGGCUAACUACGUGCCAGCAGCCGCGGUAAUACGUAGGGAGCGAGCGUUGUCCGGAAUUACUGGGUGUAAAGGGAGCGUAGGCGGGAUCGCAAGUCAGAUGUGAAAACUAUGGGCUUAACCCAUAAACUGCAUUUGAAACUGUGGUUCUUGAGUGAAGUAGAGGUAAGCGGAAUUCCUAGUGUAGCGGUGAAAUGCGUAGAUAUACGGAGGAACACCAGUGGCGAAGGCGGCCUGCUGGACAUUAACUGACGCUGAGGCGCGAAAGCGUGGGGAGCAAACAGGAUUAGAUACCCUGGUAGUCCACGCCGUAAACGAUGAUUACUAGGUGUGGGGGGACUGACCCCUUCCGUGCCGCAGCAAACGCAAUAAGUAAUCCACCUGGGGAGUACGACCGCAAGGUUGAAACUCAAAGGAAUUGACGGGGGCCCGCACAAGCAGUGGAGUAUGUGGAUUAAUUCGAAGCAACGCGAAGAACCUUACCAGGUCUUGACAUCGUAUGCAUAGCUCAGAGAUGAGUGAAAUCUCUUCGGAGACAUAUAGACAGGUGGUGCAUGGUUGUCGUCAGCUCGUGUCGUGAGAUGUUGGGUUAAGUCCCGCAACGAGCGCAACCCUUACUGUUAGUUGCUACGCAAGAGCACUCUAGCAGGACUGCCGUUGACAAAACGGAGGAAGGUGGGGAUGACGUCAAAUCAUCAUGCCCCUUAUGACCUGGGCCUCACACGUACUACAAUGGCUGUCAACAGAGGGAAGCAAAGCCGCGAGGUGGAGCAAACCCCUAAAAGCAGUCUUAGUUCGGAUUGUAGGCUGCAACCCGCCUACAUGAAGUCGGAAUUGCUAGUAAUCGCAGAUCAGCAUGCUGCGGUGAAUACGUUCCCGGGCCUUGUACACACCGCCCGUCACGCCAUGGGAGUCGGUAACACCCGAAGCCUGUAGUCUAACCGCAAGGAGGACGCAGUCGAAGGUGGGAUUGAUGACUGGGGUG
rnacentral:rRNA from 1 species